UAGGUAGGUAGAGUGAGGGGAGCGGCAGACCGAGAGAGUAACACGUUGGUAUCUGCCCCAGACUCAGGGAUAACCGCUCGAAAGAGUGGCUAAUACCGGAUAGUCUCGUAAGAGUAAAGCUUUUGCGGUCUGGGAGGAACCUGCGGCCUAUCAGCUAGUUGGUAAGGUAACGGCUUACCAAGGCGAUGACGGGUAGCUGAUGUGAGAGCAUGAUCAGCCUCGAUGGGACUGAGACACGGCCCAUACUCCUACGGGAGGCAGCAGUGAAGAAUCUUCCGCAAUGGACGAAAGUCUGACGGAGCAACACCGCGUGGUGGAUGAAGGCCUUCGGGUCGUAAACACCUUUUCUGAGGGAAUAAGUUCUGAAGGUACCUCAGGAAUAAGGCGCUGCUAACUACGUGCCAGCAGCAGCGGUAAUACGUAGGCGCCAAGCGUUAUCCGGAAUUAUUGGGCGUAAAGCGUCUGUAGGCGGUAAUUUAAGUCUGGUGUGAAAAUUUCAAUGCUCAACAUUGAAUGCGUACUGGAAACUAGAUUACUAGAGUCUAAGAGAGGCCACUGGAAUCUCUGUUGUAGGGGUAAAAUCCGUAGAUAACAGAGGGAACACCAAAAGCGAAGGCAGGUGGCUGGCUUAGUACUGACGCUCAGAGACGAAAGCGUGGGUAGGCGAACGGGAUUAGAUACCCCGGUAGUCCACGCC
rnacentral:rRNA from 1 species